GACGAACGCUGGCGGCGUGCUUACCACAUGCAAGUCGAACGGAGUGUCGAACGGGGGAGUGACACGUGGGUGACCUGCCCUUCACUUCGGGAUAAUAAUGGGAAACUGGGUCGAAUCCCGGAUAGUGUGGGAUGGGCCCGCGGCCUAUCAGCUUGUUGGUGGGGUAAUGGCCUACACACGCGGCGACGGGUGGCCGGCCUGAGAGGGUGGACGGCCACAUUGGGAUGUGGACAUGGCCCAGACUCCUACGGGAGGCAGCCGUGGGGAAUAUUGCCCAAUGGGCGGAAGCCGGAUGCAGCGACGCCGCGUGGUGGAUGACGGCCUUCGGGUUGUAAACUCCUUUCACCAUCGACGCGGUAGAUGGAGAAUAAGCACCGGCUAACUACGUGCCAGCAGCCGCGGUAAUUC
rnacentral:rRNA from 1 species